UGAACGCAUAGAAACCUGUGGGAAGAGGGACAGGAAGGUACCGUUACUUCUCACUCCAGUAAUGGUCAGAUCUUUGGAGCUGCUUGUCAAGGAGCGGAGCUCAUGUGGGGUGGGCGACUAUAAUAUCUACUUAUUUGCCAGGCCAGGAUAUGAUACACAUUUUCGGGGAUCCGACUGAAUUCGUGCCUAUGCCAAAAAAUGUGGAGCCCAGCAACCUAAGGCACUAUCCUCUACUAAAUUGCGAAAACAGGUUGCCACCCUCUCCAGAAUGUUGAAUCUCAAUGAUACAGAACAGGACCAAUUUGCUGACUUCUUAGGUCAUGACAUUAGGGUACAUCGCAAAUUCUACCGUUUCCCUGAAGGAACUCUUCAGUUAGCAAAGAUCAGCAAGAUACUGAUGGCCUGUGAACAAGGCAGAUUGACAGAGUUCAAGGGGAAAAGUCUGGACCAAAUCUCCAUUAGCCCCUGUGAAACUCUCAUGUCUGAAAAAAAGGAUGACACAGACUACUCAAAUUUGGAAUCGGAAAGUGUCUCAGAGAAAGCGGAGUCUUCUGAAGAAGAGUCUUCAAAUGGAAACCUGACAGAGAUGACAGCGAUUCGUCACAGGCAGUCAGCACAGAAGGGGAAGCUGGGACAAAAGAGCUGUUCCCACAACACGGCCGUAUCUGAACAAACCGAAGACACAGGCUCCAACUGGGCAUCAGGAAUUCACUCUGAUAGAGGAGUCUUCUGAUACUGAUCUGA